UUUAGCAAGUGCUUGCAUAUUCAUUUGUAGUUCUAACCAUUCCUUUGCAAAGACAAAGUUUAUGAUAAUGAUCUGCUUCCUGGAGCUGAGUCAGGCCGUUUGGCCCAACGAUCUACUGUUUCUUCAUAGCCCAUGCAGUGCCCUUCCAUGGUUUAGCCUCCCGCCCACUCCACCCUUCCCGCUCUCUCCUAAUUGCCUCCCAUCCGCCCUCACAGGACAUGACUUUCCCUUUCUCCCACUCCAAAUAGUUAUGCAAGAGUCAGUCUGCUCUUUAUCCUAGGAGCCCUUAUAAAACAAACUUGAGAAUAAAUACUCGGCUAUUUCAAAGCAUGAAAUGAGGCAACUUGUCUCUCACAUCACCCAUGAGUGAAGAAAAUUAUUUGGCAUGAGCUUUGAUACCAUCUUCUUUGCUGAUUUAGAAUAAACUUGAUAAGUUUUUCACUUUUGGCUUUAGGUUUCUUGUUUGUAAAACAAAUGACUGUGAAAUGGCAAAGUUGGGUUGCUUGUGAUGACUGGAGCUGUGUUAAUGGUGAGUGGCGCUGGAAAAGUGUUUGGUGGGAAGAUGGUUGUCAGGGAAAUCAAGAAAUCUGGACCCUUAGCAUCUCUAACAGGCUGAUCUUAGAUUGGAGAUAAAAGUGUGGGAAAAAGAGGAGCAGAAAUGAUUCUUCCAAAAUAUUGUGACUCAACUCCACCUUAUGCUGGCAAUGUUUCUUCUCUUUCUCAUUUGGCCUGAAGAUGGGGAGGGGUAAAGACUACCUGAGAAAGGGAUGGGAAGAAUGAAUAUCAGAAUAUCAGGCUGUUCAUGUUGGGGAUGCAGUGGUUAGAGCAACAUAACAAUUGCGCCCAGGACUUUUCUCACAUGAGCACCAAAGGGCAUUGCCUUUUUGGUUUGUCUCCAAGAAGGAUCAUUUCAAAAGGGAGAGAAGUGAAAGGAUGAUGUGACAUCAGAGUGACCAGACUGGGGCAGGAAGGGCGGCAGAAACUCAACAUUCAAUGUUCAGGGAAGACCUCUUUGGGGAGGUAAUAUUUGAGCUAAGAACAGGUAACAAUAACAACCAGAGAUAACAGUAACAAACCAAACAAUAAUGAUCAAUAAUUAGUGAGUUCUUAGUUAUAGCCAUUCACAUACAUUAAUUCACCAUGUCCUGGGGUUCAGGCUCCUGAGUGUCUGCUUUUAAAAGUCCCCGCUUUUGAGGUUAAGUCAUAUGAGAAAUUGGGGAAGAACAUUCCAGGAAAAGGAAUGGCAGGUAGAAAGUCUCUAAGCAGGUAUGCAACUAGUUAUGUUGAGGAGUUGAAAGAAGCUCAGGGUGGUUUAUGAGUGAUGAGCUAAGGAGAAAAGGUUUUAAGUCUGGGGAAGUGUUUUAGAGACCAUAGCAAUGAGUUUAAAUUUUAUUCUUCAAUGUAAUGGAAGAUUUUAAGCAAGGGAGCAACACGAUCAGAUCUACCAAUAAGGCUUUGUUUAUCUCAUUCAUUAUUAUUACUUUUUAGAUAUUUGUAGACAAACUUUCUUCUAGUUUGUACUUUACCUAAGCAAUGAACCUUCAUGUACCUGGAGGACUGACUUAGGAUAGUUUCUUUAAAAAAAAUCAUAAUAGUUUGUUUUCAUUCAACAGAUAUUUAUUGUGUAUUAAAAUUUAGUUAUCAAAUAUUUCUGCUCUUUAAAACAUCCAGGCCUAAAUAAUUGGCCAGAUUGAAUAAUAUUGUCCAUCUACCACAGUUAGAAACAGGCACAUUGACCACUCCAGCAUAUUGUUUCUAUUGGUACAUUUUCCUCUUGACCUUAAGACUUCCGAGAAAGUAUAAAUAUUUAACAUCUUAUGAGCAAUUUCAGCAGUCAUAGUUUGCUCUGAUAUUAAAACUGCAGUAGUGAUGGAAAAAAGCCUCUGAAGCAGAAUGCAGACCCAGUUCUAGAUAAAUAUAACUUUCUGUCCUUAAACUUUGUUCUUAAAAAAAGUCAUGCCUUCCACUUCAACAGGAUUGUUUCAUUUAGGUUUGCCCUUUUAACACAUUGAGUCAUUGUUCGGUGAUCAGGACUGUCUCCCCUAGUGUUUCAUUUUACUAGGAAAUUGGCUCCAGGGUUUGAUUACACAUAACUGGGAAUGUCCACCAUGUCAGCAAGGACAAAGCCCUUUGUUGGUAUGUAGGUAGUGAGAAGGUUAACAUUUUAAAAUACCACGGUGGGUAGAAACAGAAAUAACUUUUCUACUCCUGUGCAGAAUUAGAGGGCUGUGUUCUCUUAGAAAGAAGGAAUAGAUAUCUUGGCAGUUUCAAAUCUUAUGAGAGUUCUCUUAGCAGAAAAACAAAAGAAAAGCAAAAAUUAAAAAUAAGGAGUAACAUAGUACUUAGGGUAUUAAGGACAUGUGGAAGAAUAAUUGACUCGAGGUUGGUGGGAUUGUUUUAGGUGAAUUACUAAUGAGAGGGCCAGAAAAUGUUUGUUUUAAAUGUAGGCACUAAGUGUUUAUUAUUUGAGUCCAGAAAUGGCUGGGAGUGAGUAAAAGGGGAUGUUCUCUUAGUAGGUUGAUGUUUUUGGCAAUAGUACAACCGAUGUUGCAAGAAGGGAAACAGUCUCAAGAUGGAAAUCUCUUACAGGUUGGCAUUUGCCCAAGGCUGAAAUGUUGACAGGGAAGUACAGGCACACCCAAAAACAUCCUGAUUAAAUUGCAAGUGUUGUGUAAAACCAAGUGGGGAGAGCAAAUAUUUUAUAACCAUGGCUGCACCAUUUCACAUUCCCACCGACAAUGCACAAGAGUUCCAGCAUCUUCACAUUCUCACCAGCACUUGUUAUUUUCCCUUUUUUUUUGGUAAUAGUCAUCUAGUGGGUGUGAAGUGGUAUCUCACUUGGUUUUGAUUUGCUGUUUCCUAAAAUUUUUAUUUUAAAUUUUAUUUUAUACACAAUUUAAUUUUUAACUAGUGUGUUUACUGUUAACUAAUUUACAAACGUAUAUUGAAUAUCCACUAUGUCCCCAGGAUUGGGAUAAUUCUGUGGGUACAAUGGUAAGUCUUUUGUGGAACUAUUUCACAUACUAUAAACAGUUUUUGAAUAGAAACCAUCAUGCUAAUGGGUAGCUAUCAUUGCUGCGUUUGUCAUUAAACUGGGUUUGUGAUUGGGGUAGUUGAUAUUGUCCCCUUCUCUUGCUUGGAAUGGUAGCUUUCUAAAACUGAAAUACCUUCAGUUCUGGUUUUAUGCUGCAGAGAGAUUAGAAUUACUUUUUUAGAAAUAUCCUUGUUUAAUGAUAUUUCAUGUCUCAUUUCUAUAUGGGAGGGUUGUUACCCAUACAAGUAAAAGUCUUGUUUAGCUCUUUUAUUUUUAUAACAAAAUUUUAAUCUUUUUUUUUUCUAAAAAAUGAAAUCAACGCUUUGUAGAUCAAAAAUGUUUGAAUGUUGGCACUGUCAUAUGGUUCUGCCUAAUGUAUGAAUGCAGCUCAGAUCAACAGAUUAUUUACUUUCCAACUCUUAUCAAAAGUUCUGUGAAUGAAAGUGAUAAUAAUGAGGUUUUGUUUAAAGUUGAGGUUAACAAACUUUCUGUAAAGGGCCAGGUAGUAAAUAUUUUAGGCUUCACAAUCCAUGUUGUCUGUUGCAACUGUUCAACUCUGUUCUUGGCUAAUGAAAGCAGUCAUAGACAAUAAGUAAAUGAGUGGAUGUGGCUGCAUUCCAAUAAAACUUUAUUUAUAAGGGAACAGGUGAUGGGCCAGAUUUGGCUUGGAGCCCAUAGUUUGCUCAUCUCUGGUUUCAAGGAUCGAGAGUUACAUCCUUGGACAAUGUUAUCUUGGUAUGAAUUGCUAUUUAUUGCCUUUGCUGGAUUAUUAUGUGUUAUUUUGCUCCAAGCAUUCACUGGGCAAGAAGUUCAGAAACAACAUUAUGAAAUUCUGUAUUACAUUUGCUCUUAGGAUGCCACUAAGAAUAUAAUUCACAAGAUGAAAUCAGUAUUUCACAUAAAAUAUUUCUUCCAGGGCUAAGAUCUAGGAAGUGAUUUGCUCCUUCCCCUGUCUGUUUGAUUAUAUAUAUAUAUAUACAUAUAUUUAUAUAUCUAUAACUGACUGUGUCUACUUUUUUGCUUUGGCUGCUGGAAAUAGUAGCACCAAAUCUGAGCUUCAACUUUAGCAAUUAUGUUGCCAUUUAUGGCCCAUGAAUAUAAGAUUUGCUUCAGUCCCAUAAUCACUCCUGUUUUAACUAUACAUUCAAAUUCAUAUUUUCCCUGAAUUAAAAAAAAAAUUUGAAUUAUAAUCUACCAAAAUUUUGAGUUAUAAUCCACCAUUAUUUUGUAUCCUUCUUUACUGUAAACUGCCUCAUAUGCCUCCAGAUCAUGUUUGAGAGCAAAUACACAAAGUAAAUGACAUAGUUUUUAUAUCUGAAAAACUAAUUUCCUGCAAAAUUUUAAUAUCUGAAGCGUUUUAAUUUCAAGCAUAAAUUAUUACAUUUUUUAUUGUGGUAAAAUAUAUGUAACAUAAUGAUUUGAACCAUUUUUAAACAUCCAAUUCAGUGGCAUUAAUUAUAUUCACAAUGUUGUGCAACUGUCACCGCUAUUUAUUUGCAAAAAAUUUUUUCACCCCGAACAGAAGCUCUGUACCCAUUAAGCAAUAAAUUCCCAUUCCUCCCUCACCCCAGCCCCUGGUAACUACUGAUCUAUUUUCUGUCUUCAUGCAUUUGCCUGUUCUAAAUAUUUCACAUAAGUGGAAUCAUACAAUAUUUGCCCUUUUGUGUCUAGCCUAUUUCACUUAGCAUUAUGUUUUCAAGGUUCAUCCACGUCAUAGCAGGCAUCAGAAUUUUAUUUCUCUUUAUGAUUGAAUAAUAUUCCAUUGUAUACCAUUUUGUUUAUCCAUUUACCUGUUGAUGAACACUUGCUUUGCUUCUACUUUUUAGCUAUCGUGAAUAAUGGGGUAAUGAAUAUUGGUGUACAUGUAUCUGUUUGAAUCCUUGCUUUAAGUCCUUGGAGUACAUACUCAGUAGUCGAAUGGGUAGUAGUUAAGACGCUCUACUGCUAAUCGAAAGCUCUGUGGUUCGAAAUCACCAGCAGCUCCACAGGAGAAGGAUGUGGCAGUUUACUCCCAUAAAGAUUUACAGCCUCGGAAACACUAUGGGGUUGCUAUGAGUCGGAAUCUACUCAAUGGCAGUGGUUUUGGGGUUUAGGAUGGUAAUUCUAUGUUUAGCUCUUUAAAGAGUCACCAAACUGUUGCCCACAGUGGCCACACCUUUUACUUUCCCACCAGCGAUGCACAAGAGUUCCAAAUUGCACCACACGCUCAACCAACACUUGUUAUUUUCCUUUUUUGGUAGUAGAAAUCCUUGUUAUAGUUAGGUGCCACUGAGUCAGUUCUCACUCAGAGACCCUAUUUACAACGGAACAAAACACUGCCUGGUCCUGUGCCAUCCUCGCAAUCAUUGCUAUGUUCGAGCACAUUGUUGCAGCCAUCUCCCUGAGGGUCUUCCUCUCUUUUGCUGACCUGCUACUUUAUCAACCGUGAUGUCCAUCUCCAGGGACUGAUUCCUCCUGAUAACAUGUCCAAAGUACGUGAGAUGAAGCCUCGCCAUCCUCGCUUUUGUAAGGAGAAUUCUGGCUGUACUUCUUCCAAGACAGAUUUGUUUGUGCUUCUGGCAGUCCACAGUAUAUUCAAUAUUCUUCGCCAACACCGUAAUUCAAAGGUAUCAACACUCAGAGUCUGAAGGGCAUGGUCAUUGCCUAGAUGAUCUCAGAGAAAAGAGGAUUAUUUUCAAGCCUUUAGAGCUAGUGUAAAUUCUUUUGCUGGGUUUUGAACUUGCUUGGUGCCUGUUAUCCCUCCUUUCCCAAUUUCCCCCAUUUGUGGUGGAAAUGUCUGCUUUGUGCCUGUCCCACUAUUGUACUUUGGAAGUACAGUCUAUUUUAGAUUUCACACGUUCACAGAUGAAGCGGAAUUUUCCCCCAGGGUGCAAUAUGCCUCAAGUCUUGCCCAUAUUGGAUUUAGAUGCUUUAGAAGAUGAGAUUUUGUGCUUGGAGUUGAUUUAACACUUUUGGGAAGAUGUGAUGGUGUGAAUGUGUUUUGCACGUGGCAAGGAUAUGAAUUUUGGGGGGGCCAAAGGGUGAAAUGUUAUGGAUUGAAUUGUGUCUCCCAAAAAUAUGUGUUGUAAAUUCUAAACUCUAUGUCUGUGGUUAUAAUUCCACUUGGGAGUAAGUUUUCUGUUAUGUUAAUGAGGCAGGAUUAGUGGGAUGUGUCUUGAGCCUAUCUCUUACAAGAGACAAUAGGAGCAGAUUAGGCAGAGAUCCCAUAAGGUAGAUGCCUAGACGCAUGAAGAUCUCCAAGGAACCCAGAAACAAGUCGAAGAGGCAAGGACCUUCCCCCAGGGCUGACAGAAAAAGCCCUCACCUAGAGCUGGCACUCUGAAUUCAGACUUCUAGCCUCCUAAACUCUGAGAAAAUAAAUUUCUAUUUGUUAAAGCCAUCCACCUGUGGUAUUUCUGUUAUAGCAGCACUAGAUAACUAAGACAUGCCUAGUGGGUAUGAAGUAGUAUCUCAUUUUGGUUUUGAUUUGCAUUUCCCUAAUGACAAAUGAUUUUGAGCAUCUUUUCAUGUACUUACUAGCCAUUUGUAUAACUUGUUUGGAAAAAUAUCUAUUCAAGUCCUUUGCCCAUUUUUUAACUGAGUUGUUUGUCUUGUUGAGUUGUAGAAUUUCCUUAUAUUCUGGGUAUUAAACCUUUAUCAGAUGUAUGAUUUCCAAACAUUUUAUCCCAUUCUGUAGGUUGUCUUUUCAUUUUCUUCAUAAAGUCUUUUGAUGCACCAAAGUUUUAAAUUUGAUUACUGU